CGUGGGUGUAGCUCAGUCCGGUAGAGCAUCUGUCCCAUCGGCAGAGGGUCAGUGGUUCAAAUCCACUCACCCCGACCA
rnacentral:tRNA from 1 species